CAAAGAAGCAGGCUGCCUAUAACAGUUCUCUGUUCUUGAGGACUCUGUUCUGGAGCCUGGGAUGUUAUAUGGACAGCCAUGUUAAAGACUACAAGGUGAUCGUAUGUUAUGGUAAUGAGGUCCACAUAAGCAUCACAGCUAAAGAAGAUGACAUCAGUUUUCAGAUUGCUCUGCAUUGUACUGAUUUACUACCAAAAUGCAUAAUAAGCCAGCUGUUCAAUCUAACUCAACUUACUGAGGACAGUUUUGAAAGGCCAAAUCACUGGAACUGUGUCAACCUAGCAGCCACCUGCAAUACAGUUAACCACCAAUGAC